CUGCUUUUGAAGUUUCAGCUGUCUGAAAUUUCAUCUAACCAAUUUAGCGUUACAUUAUGAACAUUGUAAUGAUUUUCCACAGUAGAGUAUUUUUACUGUCAGUUUAGGGUAAGUACAGUAGGAAGUACCAGCAGGAAGGAAUGGCAUUCGAACUGGUGACCUUCGGAAAGGAAUGUGACAGGCCUUACCGCUAUGCCGCCUACUGACCUUAAAACGCACGACAUCACCUAUUUUCAGUCUAAGCAUGUGCUGUGAGUGAGCCAGCUGCAAGUGCCACACUCCAGCUCUGAAACUGUGGGUCCCGACCCGCUCUUUCUUCGCUGCUGCACUCAUAGGAAGGCCUGUGGUUUGCUGCAAAGAGGUGUAGGGCCGGUGCACAUGAAAAAGCGCACGGUGCGCAUCCUGCCGGGGUGUCUCCAAAAACCACCCACGCAGCCAGCAGAUCCCCACUCGCGCUUUCUUGUUCGCAGUCAAGAGGAUCUCGCAGUUCGCAGAUCUGAGUCCUUUUGUUUCCAAGUGAUGCUGAAAGAGUGUUUCUCGCCAUCAGAGUGCUGAGGCUAUGUGGCGCUAGGUGUGUCCACGGUGCUCCUCCGCAGGGGCUGGGACAUACUGAGACAUGGAGGACAACUGCAGCUGCACGCACAUGAUCGGUAUAGCUGGAGUCUGUGGCUCUCCUGGCCUGUGGCUCAUACUGGCUGUUGUCUCCACAGCACUGCUUCUCUGUGGGGGGUGGCAUCUCAUGUCCUUUAUAGCAGGGCGUUGCACAGAUGGGGGAAAGAAAUUCCUGCCUCGCUUCAGGAGAAGUUUGAGUCAGCGGCUGAAGGACAUGGAGGAGAACCCCAUUUAUGGGAACAUCACCUACACCCAGAGUCGCACGGAUGCUCCUCCCAGCGCUUCCGGAGCCGCCGAUCAGCAGUUCCCCAAAAAUCAGGCCCAGUCGAGGCAGCAGGACUGCUACGCCAACCUGAAGCUGAAGGCCCCCAAGCCAUCUUCAGCUCGCAGCUCUCCAAAGAUCCAGUAUUCAGACGUGGUGACGCUCCCCAGGACGGUGGAGGGGACGGGGCCAGGGGAGGGGCCGUCUGCAGACAGUGAUGCAGUUUCGCUGCGCUCAGACCUGUAUGCCUCAGUGGACCCUGAACGCAACAAAACCAUUGGCAACGAUAAAGACUACGCCAACCACGUCUGAAGACCGCAGCAAGCAUGUUGAAGGACUAUGGCAGCGUCCACUGAAGGGCUGCGCGAACCCCUGCCGAGGACUGCCCGCUCCCCCUUGGAGACCUGAGCCAACCGGGUUUGAGAACUGUGCCAGUCACAUCCCAGGAAAUGUUUGUAUGCCCAGAAAUUCAUAUCUAACACGAGGUGCUGGUGAACAAUAAAUGAAAUUAGUGUGGAAUUAGUGUAGUCUGU
rnacentral:lncRNA from 1 species